rnacentral:rRNA from 1 species
GUACUCGGAUGAAUUGUGGUAAGUAGUGAAAUACAAAUCGGACUAGGAUAUAGCUGGUUUUCUGCGAAAUCUAUUUUAGUAGAUGAUUUAUUUAUUUUAUUAGUAGGUAUAGCACUGAAUAUCUAAUAAAAUUAGAAAGGAGUAUGAAAGUACUUACUUUGGAUAUUUAAUCUCAGAAUAACUAAUAAGUUGUAAUAAGUUAUCAGACUUCUUGCGAUAAGGUGUGAAGUCGAAAGGGAAACAGCCCAGAAUAAUUUAUAAAGUUCCAAAAUUGUUGUUUAGUGAAAUAAAAGAGGUUUUUCUUCAGAGACAGUCAAGAAGUGGGCU